CCAAUAGCGUAUAUUAAAGUUGUUGCAGUUAAAAAGCUCGUAGUUGAAUUUCGCGAUCAAAUUGUUGGUCGUGCCUCGGUACGUACUGGCAUUAUUGAUUUCUCCUUUCUGAAGAACCAUGAUGUCAUUAAUUUGGUGUCUUGGUGAAUCAGGACUGUUACUUUGAAAAAAUUAGAGUGUUUAAAGCAGGCUCACGCUUGAAUACAUUAGCAUGGAAUAAUGAAAUAGGACGUUUGAUUCUAUUUUGUUGGUUUCUAGGAUCGACGUAAUGAUUAAUAGUGAUAGUUGGGGGAAUUAUUAUUCAAUUGUCGUAGGUGAAAUUCUUGGAUUUAUUGAAGACUAACUACUGCGAAAGCAUUUGCCAAGGAUGUUUUCAUUAAUCAAGAACGAAAGUUAGGGGAUCGAAGACGAUCAGAUACCGUCGUAGUCUUAACCAUAAACUAUGCCGACUAGGGAUCGGAUGAUGUUAAUUUUUUAAUGACUCAUUCGGCGCCUUACG
rnacentral:rRNA from 1 species